GUAACUAGAAAAUGGAGUUCCUUCCCACGAAUAUUUGUUUAUGAGGUUCCUUUCAUCAAUUCGGUUGUUCUUAUUGUGCAAAUGAUUAUCCCGGGAUGAAUUUCAUGGACUACAAGCUGGAUCGUUCGCAAAGAGCAAUGUGGAGACUGCCCUUUGCUAAAAACACCGAUUUCAAAGAAGCCGACGGUUAUAUACCUGAAAGUUUCUAUAAUCUAAGAGACCUUAUUUACACCGUGUAAUAGCAACUCGUCAAUGUCAGCACUAUCAUUUCUCAAACGGAAGUCCCUCCUCCAACCGGACCACUGAAUUGCAGCUGGGCUAUAGGGUGCCCUAAGCAAAGUUGCUCCUCAGGGCCUCGAGUUGACUUCAUCCGGCACUGAAAGAUCACAAGCUGAGAAACUUGUUUUCUUUACCGACCGCCGGUCCUCGUAGUAAAUAGCUGACCAUGAUAAGAUUGCAUCAGCAGAGCAUCGGUCGAUCACGCUCAAUAUUAUAAUGUUAUAUAAUUAUCUUCUAAAAAAAUUUUCUUCUCUCAACUUUGUACAUGGCCACGCACUAUCGUUUUAUAUUUAUUUACUAUUUCCCAAAUUAUUUCCUAUUUCUUUCAAGUUUAUUUUUUUCAUGUGGACAAAAAAAUUAAAAGUGGGGCCUGGUUUAGUUGCGUAAUUCGCGCAGAGCAUGCCCUUAAUCGCUGAGAGAUUCUGCUAAAUAAUGUG